rnacentral:tmRNA from 2 species
GGGGGCGAAUGGUUUCGACGGGUUUGGACCGCCCCAGGAAGCGAGCCGAGGUUUCCCACCUCCUCGUAAAAAAAGGUGGGGCAAACAAAAAGUGCCAACGAAGAACUUGCUCUUGCUGCUUAAGGAAUAAGCAGCCGUUCCCUUCGAAGCUUGGCUGAGGCUCGAAGGGGGCGUCAGGGAGUCAGCCUACUGCCGUUGGAUUAAGCCUUUCGUCCAACGGUGGGAAAACUUAGAAGGGCUUGGGUUCACAAAGCCUGCUCGUGGGCGUUGUGAACCGACAUCAAAACACGAGCUGCGCUCGGAGAUGCCUGGGGUUGUCCAAAUUCGGACGCGGGUUCGAUUCCCGCCGCCUCCACCA